rnacentral:lncRNA from 1 species
GCCAGGCGCUUGGUGUCCACAUCAAAAGCAAAGAUAUGCCCCUUGUUCUUCAGGAUGGCAGCCAGGUGGCUGGUUUUGUUCCCAGGGGCAGCACAGGCAUCAAUCACAUGGGAGCCAGCAGAAGGGCUGAGGAGGAAGGCUGGCAAGCAGCUGGCCUUGUCCUGCAGGAUGAUGUGUCCUGAUGUAUAGAGCCGGCUGUCGUGGAAGUCCG